rnacentral:rRNA from 1 species
GGGAAUCUUCGGCAAUGGGGGCAACCCUGACCGAGCAACGCCGCGGGAGUGAAGAAGGUUUUCGGAUCGUAAAGCUCUGUUGUAAGAGAAGAACGGGUAUGAGAGGGGAAAGUUCAUACNGUGACGGUAUCUUACCAGAAAGGGACGGCAAACUACGUUCCCGGAGCCGCGGUAAUACGUAGGUCCCGAGCGUUAUCCGGAUUUAUUGGGCGUAAAGCGAGCGCAGGCGGUUAGAUAAGUCUGAAGUUAAAGGCUGUGGCUUAACCAUAGUAUGCUUUGGAAACUGUUUAACUUGAGUGCAGAAGGGGAGAGUGGAAUUCCAUGUGUAGCGGUGGAAUGCGUAGAUAUAUGGAGGAACACCGGUGGCGAAAGCGGCUCUCUGGUCUGUAACUGACGCUGAGGCUCGAAAGCGUGGGUAGCGAACAGG